GUCGAAAGUUUUUUGAACGUGCGAUUUUCCCAGCCUUUCAUGUUAUUAUUAGCCUACUUUAGCUUUUGCCUUUUGUGUUAUAGUCCGGUUGCGAUAUGUCGCGCAUGUCCAUAUGAUUUGUGUCAUUAGGUGGGUUUUCAUGAUUGCACACGUGACUGAAACCGAGAUGCGAUUUUUCCCGCAUGUCCUCGCGACGCGGGAGAGAAUCUAGAGCUGUUUCUGUGUAGAAUGCAGGGAUUAGUCAUGCAACCGCAGUAGACUGCACACCUCAUCAUCCUUCUCACCGAUACCAUCAUCAUACCGCGCUGCUGAUAAUUUAAGCAGGAGGACAAGAGUGUCUGGGAAUUAUAUAUGUUUUUAUGUUAUUUAUUGUAUGUUUGCGUGGUAGGCUAUCCGAGGUAAAUGAGUUCUCCGGUGGCGGUUCUUGCGGUGCUGGCCGCUUGCCUUUGCGGUGUGCUUCUCCCGGUGGCUUGUAGGGACCAUCUAAAUUACAGACCAAUCAUUGGUAAGCCAUUCGAGAUCCAUCUAGGGUGAAUGGGGGUCCUGGCCCAGGAGAACAUAGUGGGAGACCCUUAUGCUCAGGGAUCCUCCUACAUCGCUGCUUCCUAUGUAAAGUACCUUUUUGCUGGAGCCAGGGUUGUCCCCAUAAGAAUAAACAGAACCGAUGAAGAGUAUGAGAAGAUAUUUGACUCAAUAAACAGACCAACGAUGCGUCUGAUUACUUCCCCAUAUGGGGCACGUGCCAGGGCCUCCAACAGAUGACAGUACUGACCAGCAACAAGAACCUUCUGACUCUGACAGAGACCAAGGCUGUGGCCCUGCCUCUCACAUUCACCCCAGAACUACAGCCGGAAUGCCAAGCUGAAACAUUUCUACACGGUUCUGACCACCAACACAGACGGACGGAGAGAGUUCAUUUCUACCAUGGAAGGGAAUCACUACCCAUUGUAGAUUGUUCCAGUGGCUAUACAGUAAAUAGAGCCUAGAUUGUACAUUUUCAUCUGUUUCCUCUCUGGAAGCGACUCGCUAUCCGUUCUAUGCUGUCCAGUGGCACCCUGAGAAGAGUCCCUUUGAGUGGGUAGAUAAGCCAGGUAUGGUCCACUCUGCUGCGUCCGUCAGAGCAUCCUUCUACACAGCACACUUCUUUGUCUCCGAGGGUGAGUUAUUUUAGUCCACCUUUCUUUAACCAGGUAAAUCGGUUAAGAACAAAUUCUUAUUUGCAACGCUGGCCUGGGGAGUGACUGUAGAUUAGAUAUUGGACUGUACAAUGCUGGCCUGGUGAGUGACUGUAGAUGACAGUCCAGUUAUUGGAUUGUACAACUCUGGCCUGGUGAGUGACUGUAGAUGACAGUCCAGCUAUUGGAUUGUACAACUCUGGCCUGGUGAGUGACUGUAGAUGACAGUCCAGCUAUUGGAUUGUACAACUCUGGCCUGGUGAGUGACUGUAGAUGACAGUCCAGUUAUUGGAUUGUACAACUCUGGCCUGGUGAGUGACUAUAGAUGACAGUCCAGCUAUUGGAUUGUACAACUCUGGCCUGGUGAGUGACUAUAGAUGACAGUCCAGCUAUUGGAUUGUAGCUGUAUUGGACCAUUAACCUUUACAUGACCUGUAGAUGACCUGUACAUGACCUGUAGAUGACCUGUCAUCAUGACACUAACCCUACAUUACACAAGUUCUCUUCAGCCAGUGAGGAGGAGAGAGCUUUCAUCUACAACUAUUCUCUUGUCUUCACAGGUCUAGAUGGUAUAUUCCUGCAAAAUUAUUACUUUGAUUAGAAUCAAUUGUAAAUCUAAUCACUGUACCUUUGCUAUUGUAAAAGAUUGUAUGGACUUUCUGUGAAAUUUACAUUUGUAUUUGAGCUCUGAUUGUAGCUGUAAAAACUCUUGUUGGAAUCAGUGGUUAUUGCAGUUGAUGCAAGUUGUUGCUUUUGUAUGAUAUAAUUGUAAAAAGGUUAGCCUUUUUGAUGUGAUUUCAAGUCUUGAGAACUUUGUUGUGGGGGGAAAAAAAGUUUGUUUAAAUGUACUACCAUUGGAUGUUGUGAUGCAGUGUUUUAUUAACGGGAGAAUAUGUCAAUUCUACCAUCUUCCAUGUGAGAACUAUUACAACAACAUGACUGGAACAUCUGAAAAUAGAACGAAACUGCCUGCACACAAA